rfam:Candidatus Roizmanbacteria bacterium RIFCSPHIGHO2_12_FTLL_33_9 rifcsphigho2_12_scaffold_6501, whole genome shotgun sequence.
CCUGGUUACUCGAGCGAUCUGGAAACACCUCUUCCCAUCCCGAACAGAGAAGUGAAACUGAUCAGCGCCGAUGAUACUCAUUCCAAACCGGAAUUGGGGAAAGUAGGUCGUAGCCAGGU